UCACCGUUUGCACGGGCAGUUCCAUUAGAGUCCCCAGCAUAACCUGAUGGCAACUAAUGGUAGGGGUUGCGCUCGUUGCAGGACUUAACCUAACACCUCACGGCACGAGCUGACGACAGCCAUGCAGCACCUAGUUUCGUGUCCUUGCGGACUGACCUGUUUCCAGAUCAUUCACUAACUUUCAAGCCCAGGUAAGGUUCCUCGCGUAUCAUCGAAUUAAACCACAUGCUCCUCCGCUUGUGCGGGCCCCCGUCAAUUCCUUUGAGUUUCAAUCUUGCGAUCGUAUUCCCCAGGUGGAUUACUUAACGCUUUCGCUUGGACGCUUGCAGUGUAUCGCAAACAUCGAGUAAUCAUCGUUUAAGGCGUGGACUAC
rnacentral:misc_RNA from 1 species